rnacentral:rRNA from 1 species
UACAGAGGUCCCAAGCGUUGUUCGGAUUCAUUGGGCGUAAAGGGUGCGUAGGCGGCGCGGUAAGUCGGGUGUGAAAUCUCGGAGCUUAACUCCGAAACUGCAUUCGAUACUGCCGUGCUUGAGGACUGGGGAGGAGACUGGAAUUUACGGUGUAGCGGUGAAAUGCGUAGAUAUCGUAAGGAAGCCCAGUGGCGAAGGCGGGUCUCUGGACAGUUCCUGACGCUGAGGCACGAAGUCCAGGGGAGCAAACGGG